UACAAAUAGAAUGAUUGGUAAACCUUAUUAACAAUUUGUGAAAUGCUAGUUUCUGAAUAGCAUUUAUCAUGUUAGCCCCUUGUCUAUGCAUGGCAGUUUGUUUGCACUAUGUAACCUGUUCCUUUGGGUAGAUUUGAGGCCAGAGACAGCCAUCAUAACCACUAGAUAUGCCAGUUUUGCUUGUGCUUGUAUUCACCUGUCAGCAGCAAUAAUCUUAACAUCAUCAUUUGGAUAAACAGCAUCCCUCUGGAUUGGAGAAACUAUCGAUGUCAAUGGAGUUAUGGAUCUCUUCUUCCACUUUCUUUUAAUCCCCUCUGCCCUCGUGUACAUCCAUGUGUGUGUGGGUGUAUUCACGAGGACGUCCUUUUUUCCUAUCCUUCUCGGUGUCUUCAACUUUUCAGCGGAAUAGAUGGAGCAAAUGUGGAUGCCUGGCCGUAUUUCCCAGGCUUAAAGAUCCGGUGAAAACGCAGCUCCGGGUGAUGUAACGGCCUCCUUCAAACAAAACAACACGGCGCACUCAUGUUAUCUCUGUG